rnacentral:rRNA from 1 species
GCAGUUGUGAAGGUGCUGCAUGGUUGUCGUCAGCUCGUGCCGUGAGGUGUCGGCUUAAGUGCCAUAACGAGCGCAACCCUUAUCGAUAGUUACCAUCAGGUUAUGCUGGGGACUCUGUCGAGACUGCCGUCGUAAGAUGUGAGGAAGGUGGGGAUGACGUCAAAUCAGCACGGCCCUUACGUCCGGGGCUACACACGUGUUACAAUGGGGGGUACAGAAGGCAGCUACACGGCGACGUGAUGCUAAUCCCGAAAGCCUCUCUCAGUUCGGAUUGGAGUCUGCAACCCGACUCCAUGAAGCUGGAUUCGCUAGUAAUCGCGCAUCAGCCACGGCGCGGUGAAUACGUUCCCGGGCCUUGUACACACCGCCCGUCAAGCCAUGAAAGCCGGGGGUACCUGAAGUGCGUAACCGCAAGGAGCGCCCUAGGGUAAAACUGGUGAUUGGGGCUAAGUCGUAACAAAGUAGCCGUACCGGAAGGUGCGGCUGGAUCACCUC